UUUUGCCACAGUUUGCUCCGUUAUAUUUUUUUAUUAUUUUUUUAUUUAUUUGGUUGAGUUUUAUUUCUAAGGUUUGCGUGUUGUGAUGAAGCUGUAAGCGGUCGUAUAAUUUUUAAAAAAAAUGAGUUGUAUUCUAAUGCUUGAAGUUUCUUCUAUUUUGGUAAGACUAUAUGGUAAAGAUGUUGGUUGGUUGGCU
rnacentral:rRNA from 1 species